rnacentral:rRNA from 1 species
CAGUCGCCGCGGGAAUACGUAGGGUGCAAGCGUUAAUCGGAAUUACUGGGCGUAAAGCGUGCGCAGGCGGUUUUGUAAGUCUGUCGUGAAAUCCCCGGGCUCAACCUGGGAAUGGCGAUGGAGACUGCAAGGCUAGAAUCUGGCAGAGGGGGGUAGAAUUCCACGUGUAGCAGUGAAAUGCGUAGAUAUGUGGAGGAACACCGAUGGCGAAGGCAGCCCCCUGGGCUAAGAUUGACGCUCAUGCACGAAAGCGUGGGGAGCAAACAGGAUUAGAUACCCCAGUAGUCCCUGUCUCUUAUAC